AUUGAACGCUGGCGGCAGGCCUAACACAUGCAAGUCGAACGAGUGGCGGACGGGUGAGUAAUGUAUGGGAAUCUGCCCGAUGGAGGGGGAUAACUACUGGAAACGGUGGCUAAUACCGCAUACUAUCGGAUGUGCCCAUAUGGGAUUAGCUAGUAGGUGGGGUAACGGCUCACCUAGGCGACGAUCCCUAGCUGGUCUGAGAGGAUGACCAGCCACACUGGGACUGAGACACGGCCCAGACUCCUACGGGAGGCAGCAGUGGGGAAUAUUGCACAAUGGGCGCAAGCCUGAUGCAGCCAUGCCGCGUGUAUGAAGAAGGCCUUAGGGUUGUAAAGUACUUUCAGCGAGGAGGCGUUACCCGCAGAAGAAGCACCGGCUAACUCCGUGCCAGCAGCCGCGGUAAUAC
rnacentral:rRNA from 1 species